rnacentral:rRNA from 1 species
CCUACGGGAGGCUGCAGUGGGGAAUAUUGGACAAUGGGGGCAACCCUGAUCCAGCCAUGCCGCGUGUGUGAAGAAGGCCCUCGGGUUGUAAAGCACUUUCAGUGAGGAAGAACGCCUGGUGGUUAAUACCCAUCAGGAAAGACAUCACUCACAGAAGAAGCACCGGCUAACUCCGUGCCAGCAGCCGCGGUAAUACGGAGGGUGCGAGCGUUAAUCGGAAUUACUGGGCGUAAAGCGCGCGUAGGUGGCUUGAUAAGCCGGUUGUGAAAGCCCCGGGCUCAACCUGGGAACGGCAUCCGGAACUGUCAAGCUAGAGUGCAGGAGAGGAGGGUAGAAUUCCCGGUGUAGCGGUGAAAUGCGUAGAGAUCGGGAGGAAUACCAGUGGCGAAGGCGGCCUUCUGGACUGACACUGACACUGAGGUGCGAAAGCGUGGGUAGCAAACAGGAUUAGAUACCCCAGUAGUC